UUGAAAUGUGAAAUGUUACUGAAAUUGUCUUGUAAAGUUGUGUAUUUCUAUGUGAGAUAACACGUAAUGUUUUCUUGUUGUAUGCGGUUAUAGUAUCAAAUAUACUCCAGGGACAGGUAGUAGUGAGAGGUAAAUGCUUCAGGUCAAUGAGAAAGAGCGAGGAGCCUCACAAACUGGAGGUUUGACUAUAGACAGACAGAAUGCCGGUUGGCAAAAGUUGCCCGUUCUUGCGUGUUCACUCUUCUUGCUGCGGUUGCGGCAUUUUCUUCACUUACUAUUAUUUUACUGAAAGUAGGGUGACGAGACGUACUCUUUUUUUCCCGGACAUGUCCUCUUUUUUGAUACCUAUAUAAUAAAAUAACAUUGAACAUACAUGAAAUGUAAUCAUAUUUGCAUUAUGUACGCAGCUCUGCACACCCAUUACUCUCAAUGAAAUAUCUCACAAACUCACUUCACUCUUCCUUUUUUUUACCAACUCAAAUCUGGUCACCCUACUGAAAGUUAUAGUUUCAUGUUAUUAUGAACAUUGAUGUAGCAACAUAAGUAUGACUUAAUUGUAACCUAUUUAAUGUGUUGUGUCUAGAUAUCACUGGAUGUAGAGAGUGCCUACCUGAAAGCUUUCUCCUGCAGUUGUGCGACUGGUAAAGGAUUCUGCAAUCACAUAGUUGCCAUCCUGUACCAGACCGCACAUUAUUCACAGCUGGGUCUGCAGGCUGUUCCACCCCCACUGGCCUGCACAAGUGGCUUGCAAAGAUGGCACAGACCAAGAACACAGGGAAUCCAUCCUGAACCGGUUAGUGAGCUGGUGGUGCAAAAGCCCAAAACAGUUGGCAAGGACGGUCUGAGGUCCACACUGUACAAGGCAUAUACAGGACCACUGCCAGAUCCAUAUAUGAUGGCAUCUGGAAGCAAAUUAAGCCAGGUGCAGCCCCAACCUCUCAUGGCUGUUGUAUUGGAUGGGCUUUCUGAGAUGGAGUUGACGCCAUCUAAAUUUGGGUCUGUCCCUCGUGGAUCCCCCAUGUCCUAUCACUGUCCACCCAAGAAGACCAGUGACCUCCUCCUACACCACAUGGCUCCAGAAUUUCCAUCCCUUCCUGUGAUGCAGCACAUUUUUCCCAGGUUGCAUUUUGUCCCGACCUUGCAUCAGUUUAUGCAUCUCCAGUCUCUUGAAGUGUCACCGCAGCUGUCCUGUGAGAUAGCAAAAAAACUCAGCAGCAAUCCAAAUGUCCUGCGUGGACACAGCUACGGCGACCAAGGCUGACUGCUAGUCGUUUUUGGGAUGCUUGUUGUAGUAGGGCGUGUCGUGCAGAGCUGGAGUCUGCAGCUAUUCAGAUGAUCAGAGGCUCCACAAAGCAAACAGCUGCAAUGAAGCAUGGGCUACUAGUGGAGCCUGAAGUACUGGCAAACUAUGCUGAACUGUUGCGAGUUAAUGUGUUACCAGCAGGAUUCGUCAUUCACCCUGACGCACCACAUCUCGGGGCCAGUCCAGACGGUCGGGUGUAUGACCCUUCAGAGUCACCUCCUUUUGGCCUGGUUGAAGUGAAGAGCAGCACAAAAACUGAUCCAUCUCAGGUUGCUCACCUCAAGGUGCAGGAAGGCCACGCCAUUCUGAGGCGUUCACAUAAGUACUACUGGCAGGUUCAGGGCCAACUGGCAAUCACAGGACUGACAUGGUGUGACUUUGUUACCGAUACCCGAUCAACUUUAACCGUGGAAAGAAUUUGGCGUGAUGACUCAUUCAUUGCGGAAAUGAAAGAGCAAUUAGAUAUAUUUUAUUAUGGCACAUACAUGAAUGCAUACCUUAAAUUACACUAAUCUUGUCUUACCAAUUAGUUUGUCCUAAUGUUAAUGAUCUGUAAUGUUAUUUGUUUUAUUGUAAAUAUUUGAUGUUAUGAGUUUUUAUUAAUCAGUUGAUGUUACGCAUACCAAAAAAAUUAAAUGAUGCACAAUUUUGACCAAACUUUUUUUAUUUGUUCAUCUAUUUUUUGUGUGAAAUCAAAGGCACAUUUCAACAGAAAAAUAUUAAGAAUAUAACAAUUAUAUUUAAUUUGAUUUUUAAGAAUAUGUGCGAACAUUAAAUUAUUUACAUACUAUUAACACUUUAUUUACAUACCAAACAUUAAUUCACUCUUCAAAACAAAAAGGUCCUUGAUAAUUUGACAAAACACAGCAGUUAAGCCAGAUCUGAUUCACACUGCCAAUCAGUGUGAGCGGCACGGGAGAGUCCCAGAUGUGAAAGGACUUUAUCCUACCGAUCACUCUUUCCACUAUAAUUCUGAGGCGGGCAAUGGCUUGGGUUUGUUCCGUUUCCUCCUUGCUGAAUUGAGCUGAACGCUUAAAAGGUGUAAUGAUGAGCUUAGAUCCAACGUCAGCAAGGAGGUCUUGAAUGAGGAACCCUUUGUCCGCCAUGACAUCGUCUCCUGGCUCCAGCAAGGGAAGGACUCCACUGAUCCUGGUGAUCUCCUAAUCUGAGAUGCACCCAGUGUACAGGGGUGA